UACGAAGGGUGCAAGCGUUAAUCGGAAUUACUGGGCGUAAAGCGCGCGUAGGUGGUUUGGCAAGUUGGAUGUGAAAGCCCCGGGCUCAACCUGGGAAUUGCAUCCAAAACUGCUUGGCUAGAGUACGGUAGAGGGUGGUGGAAUUUCCUGUGUAGCGGUGAAAUGCGUAGAUAUAGGAAGGAACACCAGUGGCGAAGGCGACCACCUGGACCGAUACUGACACUGAGGUGCGAAAGCGUGGGGAGCAAACAGG
rnacentral:rRNA from 1 species